ensembl:lncRNA
GAAAGGGGGAGGUGCCGGCGGACAAUGGAGCCUAUGUGUGCCUGCGGGAGUGGGACGGCGCCGCCGCCGCCGCCGCCGCCGGGGGGAGACGCUGCGCCACCGCUGCCUCUGGCCCCGGCCCCGGCCCCCCGGGGCUGAGAGCCGCCCCGCACCGGAGCCCCCUCCCCUCCGCCGCCCCUCCUCUCCCCUCCCCCACGCCUGCCUCCGGGGACUGAAUUGUGAGAUUAGUUGGUAUCACUCCAGCUUGACCUAAAAACACCCUUCUGAUUGGGUGGCCCAGAUCAUUCUUGGAAAGCUCUUCUGUGUCCUGAUGUAGAAGAGAGAGCAAAUUGGACAUCGUGAAAGGUGAGGGUCGCCGUUGAGAAGGGCUUCCUGGACUCCUCACCUCCAGGAUGAGCACUGCAGUGUCGUGACCCGUGGGGUUUUGGUGAGUAGGCCGAUGGGUGAUGGAGUGGAACUCACGUCUGGCUUAGAAAGAUGAUCUUGGGGAAAAGCUUUCCAUUUUAUUCAGUAGAUUUUUGUUUUGCCUUCUGUCACCCAGCUCCCCCCUCUUCAUCCCAUAGCUCCUGAUAACCACCAUUCUCCUGCCUAAUUCUGAGUUCAACUUUCUAGAUUCUGCAUAUAAGUAAGCUCAUGUGAUGCUGGCUUUCUGUGCCAGGCUUACUUUAUUUAACAUAAUAUCUUCUAGGUUCAUCUGUGUUGUUGAAAAUGAUAGAUUUCAUUCUUUUUUUUAAGGC